AUUGAACGCUGGCGGCAUGCCUUACACAUGCAAGUCGAACGGCAGCGCGGACUUCGGUCUGGCGGCGAGUGGCGAACGGGUGAGUAAUACAUCGGAACGUACCCUGUUGUGGGGGAUAACUAGUCGAAAGAUUAGCUAAUACCGCAUACGACCUGAGGGUGAAAGUGGGGGACCGCAAGGCCUCACGCAGCAGGAGCGGCCGAUGUCUGAUUAGCUAGUUGGUGGGGUAAAGUCCCACCAAGGCGACGAUCAGUAGCUGGUUUGAGAGGACGAUCAGCCACACUGGGACUGAGACACGGCCCAGACUCCUACGGGAGGCAGCAGUGGGGAAUUUUGGACAAUGGGGGCAACCCUGAUCCAGCAAUGCCGCGUGUGUGAAGAAGGCCUUCGGGUUGUAAAGCACUUUUGUCCGGAAAGAAAUCGCGCUGGUUAAUACCUGGCGUGGAUGACGGUACCGGAAGAAUAAGCACCGGCUAACUACGUGCCAGCCGCCGCAGUAAGAC
rnacentral:rRNA from 1 species